ACGUGAUCCUGUGGGGCAGAUCCCAAAAGUGUAGCUGCCACCCGGGGGGACAUCCCUGCCAGGCUCUCCCUCGGGAGCCUGGAUGGGGUACUGGCAUCAUCACAGGCCUGGGGUUUCUGGUUUCUCACUCUGUGCCUUGCUUUGACCUCUAGAACCCCAGCUGCUCACAUUGUUCCUCCAUCCAGAACUCCUUUUCUCACCUCCCUGUCCCUCAACCCCAUCACCACAGUCAAGAGACCAUCUACAUGCCAUCUCUUCCAGGCAGCCUUCCCAAUUCCUCUCUUUUCUCUGUGUUCUCACAGCACAAGUGCCAGCAGAAGGACUCAGCAGCUGUGGCUAACACCAGUCAAGCCAAGGAUCAGGCGUGCUCAGCAGCAAGGUGGAGGGGCGUCUGCUGCCUCUGGAGAAGCCAAAGGGACAGGGGAGUACAAAAGCAUGUAUGAGUGGCCCAAGACUCAAAGCCAGGACAGUUCCAAGAUGUGCACACAGCUGCCUGGCUGCUGCAAGCAAGGACCAGGCUGUGGAAAGGUGGCCACGCUGUGAAGUCUGUGUUCAAAGAGACACAAAGGAAGCGGUGAGCCGUGGGGGGCCAACACACGCCCCAGGUAGCAGGACUGUGGAGACAGGGGCAGAGUUUUGUCCUCCUUCUGGGUUAUAAAUAUCCACAUCAUGCUCUUUGAGGGUGCAGGUGGCACAGACCCCCUAACAGAGCACUCAGCUCUCUAUCUGAGCAGGGCAGGGGGGCUCAGAGGCAGGGGAGCUAGGCAGAAGGAGGCCAUGGCCUUGGGCCCAGUGCCUGCCGUCUUCUCUCCUCCUGUGAGGAUGCCCAGCCUGUCCACCUCUGGGAGGCCUUGUCAGCAGCUCCUCCUUGUUCGCAGUGGAACUAAUCACUCUCUUGGGCUCUCAAAGCUUCCUUAUCAUCACAAGGCCUGUGGUGUGCCCUGUGUUGCUGC